CUCCAACAGUAACAAUUACUUCAGUGUUCCGUAAGCUGUAGAUGAUUGGGUUUACCAUUGGUAUUACCAUUGUAUAGAAAACAGAGACCACCUUGUUUUGCGAAUCAGAAUGACUGGAGGCUGGAGAAAGGUAUAUGAAGAAAACUGUCCCAUAAAACAAGAAAACACACGAAAGGUGGGAAGUGCAAGUCAAAAAAGCUUUUCGUCUGCCUUCCAUGGAUUGAAUCUUGAUAAUUGUAAAAGCAAUGUAGGUAUAGGAAGCCAAGAUAAUCAUAAUUGAAACAAAC